rnacentral:rRNA from 1 species
GAUGAACGCUGGCGGCGUGCCUAAUACAUGCAAGUCGAGCGAACGGACGAGAAGCUUGCUUCUCUGAUGUUAGCGGCGGACGGGUGUGUAACACGUGGAUAACCUACCUAUAAGACUGGGAUAACUUCGGGAAACCGGAGCUAAUACCGGAUAAUAUUUUGAACCGCAUGGUUCAAAAGUGAAAGACGGUCUUGCUGUCACUUAUAGAUGGAUCCGCGCUGCAUUAGCUAGUUGGUAAGGUAACGGCUUACCAAGGCAACGAUGCAUAGCCGACCUGAGAGGGUGAUCGGCCACACUGGAACUGAGACACGGUCCAGACUCCUACGGGAGGCAGCAGUAGGGAAUCUUCCGCAAUGGGCGAAAGCCUGACGGAGCAACGCCGCGUGAGUGAUGAAGGUCUUCGGAUCGUAAAACUCUGUUAUUAGGGAAGAACAUAUGUGUAAGUAACUGUGCACAUCUUGACGGUACCUAAUCAGAAAGCCACGGCUAACUACGUGCCAGCAGCCGCGGUAAUACGUAGGUGGCAAGCGUUAUCCGGAAUUAUUGGGCGUAAAGCGCGCGUAGGCGGUUUUUUAAGUCUGAUGUGAAAGCCCACGGCUCGACCGUGGAGGGUCAUUGGAAACUGGAAAACUUGAGUGCAGAAGAGGAAAGUGGAAUUCCAUGUGUAGCGGUGAAAUGCGCAGAGAUAUGGAGGAACACCAGUGGCGAAGGCGACUUUCUGGUCUGUAACUGACGCUGAUGUGCGAAAGCGUGGGGAUCAAACAGGAUUAGAUACCCUGGUAGUCCACGCCGUAAACGAUGAGUGCUAAGUGUUAGGGGGUUUCCGCCCCUUAGUGCUGCAGCUAACGCAUUAAGCACUCCGCCUGGGGAGUACGACCGCAAGGUUGAAACUCAAAGGAAUUGACGGGGACCCGCACAAGCGGUGGAGCAUGUGGUUUAAUUCGAAGCAACGCGAAGAACCUUACCAAAUCUUGACAUCCUUUGACAACUCUAGAGAUAGAGCCUUCCCCUUCGGGGGGGCAAAGUGACAGGUGGUGCAUGGUUGUCGUCAGCUCGUGUCGUGAGAUGUUGGGUUAAGUCCCGCAACGAGCGCAACCCUUAAGCUUAGUUGCCAUCAUUAAGUUGGGCACUCUAAGUUGACUGCCGGUGACAAACCGGAGGAAGGUGGGGAUGACGUCAAAUCAUCAUGCCCCUUAUGAUUUGGGCUACACACGUGCUACAAUGGACAAUACAAAGGGCAGCGAAACCGCGAGGUCAAGCAAAUCCCAUAAAGUUGUUCUCAGUUCGGAUUGUAGUCUGCAACUCGACUACAUGAAGCUGGAAUCGCUAGUAAUCGUAGAUCAGCAUGCUACGGUGAAUACGUUCCCGGGUCU